rnacentral:rRNA from 1 species
GUGGGGAAUCUUCCGCAAUGGACGAAAGUCUGACGGAGCAACGCCGCGUGAGUGAAGAAGGUUUUCGGAUCGUAAAGCUCUUUCGUUAGGGACGAACGUGCUCUUUGUGAAUAAUGAGGAGUAAUGACGGUACCUAAAUAAGAAGCCACGGCUAACUACGUGCCAGCAGCCGCGGUAAUACGUAGGUGGCAAGCGUUGUCCGGAAUUAUUGGGCGUAAAGCGCGCGCAGGCGGGAUAUUAAGUCUGUCUUAAAAGUGCGAGGCUCAACCUCGUGAGGGGACAGAAACUGGUAUUCUUGAGUGUCGGAGAGGAAAGUGGAAUUCCAAGUGUAGCGGUGAAAUGCGUAGAGAUUUGGAAGAACACCAGUGGCGAAGGCGACUUUCUGGACGAUGUCUGACGCUGAGGCGCGAAAGCUAGGGGAGCGAACGGGAUUAGAUACCCUGGUAGUCC